CCGCCGCUGCUAAAGCGGAGGAAGGAAUGGGCAACGGUAGGUCAGUAUGCCCCGAAUAUCCCGGGCUACACGCGAGCUACAAUGGUUGGUACAAUGGGUAUCUACCCCGAAAGGGGACGGGAAUCUCCUAAAACCAAUCUUAGUUCGGAUUGAGGGCUGCAACUCGCCCUCAUGAAGCUGGAAUCCGUAGUAAUCGCGUUUCAACAGAACGCGGUGAAUACGUCCCUGCUCCUU
rnacentral:rRNA from 1 species